CAAAAAACCAGCAUCAGGUGGCGCUGGCCGAGACUACAACUAAAGACCGUCGAAAGACGCCGUGCAGGAUUCGGCGGACGGUGACGCGCUGCGUCGAAGAUCGGUGAUUGGCGGCUCGAAGCCUUUUACCCUGCAACCAAUGUGAGCGGAUUCUAGCAGGGUUUUAUAGAUCGUCAACACUAUAAAACCCCGAAAUUAUAACAAAAAGUAA
rfam:Burkholderia vietnamiensis G4 chromosome 1, complete sequence.